rnacentral:miRNA from 14 species
CAGUGCAGUACAAUACAGUAUAAUACAGUAUAGUACAAUACAAUACAGUACCAUACAGUACAGUACAAUACAGUGCAGUACAAUACAGUACAGUGCAGUACAAUACAGU